AUGACGCGAUGGGAGAACUUCAAAGUCAAGGCGGCUGUCGGCUCUGUUCGACCUCCUGAACCCGACGCAACUUUUCACUGUCGUCUGAUUCCAGAAGGAUAUGCUAGGGUGAUGGUGGACGAAAUAACGGAGGGAUUUGAGGACCUCCAGCUUGACCACCCUACCGGUGAAGGGGAGACUCGGCUGGGUUCUGCUCUGAAGACUCCAUGCCUAUGGCGGAAGGAGCUCAUCAACCUUCCGAACUGGACGCCUCCGGCGAGUAAGGGCACUCCGCCUCCUCCUCCGGCGAGUGAUCAGGGCACUUAG
rnacentral:rRNA from 1 species